GAAAGAAGGAAUGAAGACCUGAUGAAAAGAUGGAAGGUGAAAAGGUGUUCGUUGCAUUACCAGAACUUUUUGUCUUUUCCCAUGUUUCUUUUUUUCUCUUUUUCUAUGUUA
rnacentral:ribozyme from 1 species